GACUGCAGGCUGCAACUCGCCUGCACGAAGUCGGAAUUGCUAGUAAUCGUAGGUCAGCAUACUACGGUGAAUACGUUCCCGGGCCUUGUACACACCGCCCGUCAAACCAUGAGAGUUGGCAACACCCGAAGUCGGUAGUCUAACCCUUAGGGGAGGGAGCUGUCGAAGGUGGGACUGAUGAUUGGGGUGAAGUCGUAACAAGGUAAC
rnacentral:rRNA from 1 species